rnacentral:rRNA from 1 species
UGGGGAAUAUUGGACAAUGGGCGAAAGCCUGAUCCAGCCAUGCCGCGUGUGUGAAGAAGGUCUUCGGAUUGUAAAGCACUUUAAGUUGGGAGGAAGGGCAGUAAAUUAAUACUUUGUUGUUUUGACGUUACCGACAGAAUAAGCACCGGCUAACUCUGUGCCAGCAGCCGCGGUAAUACAGAGGGUGCAAGCGUUAAUCGGAAUUACUGGGCGUAAAGCGCGCGUAGGUGGUUCGUUAAGUUGGAUGUGAAAUCCCCGGGCUCAACCUGGGAACUGCAUUCAAAACUGACGAGCUAGAGUAUGGUAGAGGGUGGUGGAAUUUCCUGUGUAGCGGUGAAAUGCGUAGAUAUAGGAAGGAACACCAGUGGCGAAGGCGACCACCUGGACUGAUACUGACACUGAGGUGCGAAAGCGUGGGGAGCAAAAGCAG